GUAACGAGUAAGCAAUUUAUGCUUAGUAAGUUUUGAGCAAGGAAUUCCAGCAUACACAAAGAAUAGCACACAUUUAGCUAAACGGAAUAUUUCAUAAUACGCAAUUUACCGAUAUCAAACUUGCUUCACAACAUUAACAACCCUUAUGUACAUACACAAUAAACUAACUUAGCCGAAGGCCGGUAGCUCGUUUAUCAACUGAGCGAACAUUUAUUUGUAAGGGCUCGAUUAAAUUCAACACAUACGUAACAUAUCCCCAUAUUGGGAUGUUUUUCGAGUAUUCGCUGGAAUUUUACAGCAAGCUCAUUCAUUACCAAAUCACGUACCUUCGGGAUUUAACCGGAUAUAGCUCCUCGUUCAAAUGCCUUCGGGACAUAGCCCGGUUUUAGUAACUCACACAAUGCCUUCGGGACAUAACCCGGAUUUAACAACUCGCACGAAUGCCUUCGGGACUUAACCCGGAUUUAGUAUCUCGCACAAAGGCCUUCGGGGCUUAACCCGGAAUUUGUAUCUCGCACAAAUGCCUUCGGGGCUUAACCCGGAAUUUGUAUCUCGCACAAAUGCCUUCGGAUCUUAGUCCGGAUAUAUUCACUUAGCACAAAGCCUUCGGGACUUAGCCCGGACAGCAUUCAAUUAAUCAUGCACAUCUAACAAUAAUUCAUGGCACAUUCAUAUUUCAUUUUCAUUUGCGAAACUCAACCACAAGGCACAUAUCAUUCUUGCACAUUCGGCUCAAUAGCCUCACAUAGAGCAUGAUUUAAUCACAUCGUAAUUUAAGCUCUCUUACUCAAGAACUUACCUCGGGUGUUGUCGAACGAUUCCGCUAGCUAUUCAACCACUUUUUCCUUCCCUUUAUCGGAUUUAUUUCCCCUUUGCUCUUGAGCUUAAUUAAACAAAUAAAUUGAUUUCAUCAUUUAGGCAUCAAAAAGAUGAACACAAGGCACUUAGCCCAUAUUUAUUCAUUAGACAUUAAAGUCUCAUACAUGCAAAAAUCAUGCAUCAACACAACAUAUUAGCUAAUUUCUUUCCCCUUGGCCGAAUAUGCAUGUCUAUUUUUGGGGUCGAUUUCAACACUUAAUACACACAUAUACACACUAGUAAAGCAUCCUCCCCCUUUUCAUCGAUUUAACACAUGCAUUGCUCAUCAACAUGCAAAGUUACAUUCGGCCUUAGCACACAUCUUGCUAGCCGAUUCUUCUCCAUUUAGCAACCAAUGCACAUAUGUGCUCACACAAAAAUGCUAAAAAGGAGGUUCAAGAAUCAUCAAGCCAUCAUCACAUGCAUCAUUAACAAGCUUCAUAUUUUGCAUGCAAUGGCAUUAACACAACCUCCACCUAGGCCGAAUCUUAACUCAUCCUCAUGCCUCAUCACCACAACAUCAAACAUCAACCAAGAAUGAUGCAUCCAUGGUCAAGUUCCAUUUCCAUCACAUAGCAAGAUUUAGACCAUGGGCUAGGUAGAACUCAAGCUAACAACUAAAACAUGCAUGCAUCUCAUGGAACAUCAUCAAACAUACCUUAGCCUAGCUACAUGCAUGGCCGAAUCUCUUCACCUUUCUUCUUCUUUCCUCCUUAAAAUUUUUGGCCAAGGAUGAACCAAAGGAUGAGAAAUUUUUUUCUUUGUUUUUUCUUUCUAAUUUAGGCUAAAUGAAGGUGAGAAAGGAUGAACACAAAUUUUUCUCCUUUCUUCUCUUUAGCUCACGGCAAUGGGGGGGGCAACCACACAUUUUUUUUCUUUUGUUUCCAUUUCUUUAUUACCCAUACUCCUUAUUUUAUUCUUCCAUUAACAAAACAUGUUUCAUGACAUGUUUUGCCCAUCAUUCCUUGUCAUGGCCGGCCACUACUCAUUAGGGGGGGAAAUUUGACAUGCAAGUCCCCCCCUUUGUCCACAUGCACUAAUAGGUCCUCACACAUUGACCUAUCACAUUUUAAAAUUUUCCCACAUAAGUCCUAUUGACUAAAUUCACAUGCAAUCGACUAAAUCGAAGCUUGAAAUUUUCACACAUUCAUAAUUACAUAUUCUAGACAAUAAAUAUCACAUUCAACAUUUCGGUGACUCGGUUUAGCGGUCCCGAAACCACUUCCCGACUAGGGUCAACUUUGGGCUGUCACAACUCUCCCCCACUUAAGAAAUUUUCGUCCCCGAAAAUCUUACCGGUAAAUAGGUUUGGGUAUCGUUCUUUCAUCGAGCUCUCGGUCUCCCAAGUAGCUUCCUCGAUCCCGUGUUUGAGCCAUAACACCUUUACUAGCGGAACUCUUUUGUUUCGCAACUCCUUCACUUCACGAGCUAGGAUACGCAUCGGUUCUUCUUCAUAGCUCAUGUCGACUUGAAUUUCAACCUCUGAUGGGCUAAUUAUGUGCGAUGGAUCAGAUCGAUAGCGUCGAAGCAUUGAAACAUGAAAGACGUCAUGAAUCUUUUCAAGCUCCGGGGGCAAAAUCAAUCUAUACGCAACCGGACCAACUCGUUCGGAGAUUUCGUACGGCCCAAUGAAUCUCGGGCUCAACUUGCCCUUAUGGCCAAACCUGAGUAUCUUUUUCCAAGGUGAAACCUUAAGGAACACUUUGUCUCCCACCUGAUACUCGAUGUCUUUUCGUUUCAAAUCCGCGUACGACUUCUGACGAUCUGUGGCUACCUUCAGACUUUCACGGAUUACCUUUACUUUCCGUUCAGCAUCUUUAAUCAAAUCAACUCCGAAAAUUUUACUUUCACUGAGCUCGGUCCAAAACAAUGGUGUACGGCAUUUACGACCGUACAAAGCCUCGUAAGGUGCCAUCUUAAUACUUGAUUGAAAACUAUUGUUGUAAGCGAAUUCAAUCAAAGGUAAAUACCGUUCCCAUGAACUACUGAACUCGAGGAUGCAACAUCUCAACAUAUCCUCAAGUAUCUGAAUUAUUCGCUCGGAUUGACCAUCGGUUUGGGGGUGAAAAGCAGUGCUAAAAUGCAGCUUGGUACCCAGAGCUUCUUGCAAUUUCUUCCAAAAUCGUGAGGUGAAUCUCGGAUCUCUAUCCGACACGAUAGAAACAGGUACCCCGUGUAAUCUCACAAUUUGAUAAACGUACAAUUCAGCUAGUUUAUCCAAUGAAAAAUCCGUACGUACGAGGAUGAAAUGAGCCGACUUAGUCAGUCUAUCAACAACAACCCAUAUCGCAUCCUUCUUACUUGCUGACAAGGGCAGUCCGGACACAAAGUCCAUUGUGACUCGAUCCCAUUUCCACUCGGGUAUCAUGAUCGGCUGGAGUAAUCCUGAAGGCACUUGAUGUUCCGCUUUCACUUGUUGACAUAUUAAACAUCUCGAAACAAAGUCGGAGAUGUCCCGUUUCAUACCAUGCCACCAAAAUUGACGUUUCAAAUCGUUGUACAUUUUCGUACUCCCCGGGUGAAUUGACAUUCGGCUACAAUGGGCUUCGUUCAGAAUCAUCGAAAUGAGUUCCGAAUUCCUUGGAACACACAAACGAUUUCUGAACCUCAAACAAUCAUCAUCAUCAAUUUGAAACUCCGAUUCCUCGUUCGGAAAACACUUAGCCCGUUUUGCAACCAAUUCAUCAUCGACUUUCUGAGCUUCACGAAUUUGGUGAGUCAAUAAUGGUUUAGCUUUUAAUUCAGCUACUAACACAUUGUCUGGUAGAACAGACAAAUGCACGUUCAUCGCUCGUAAAGCAAACAAUGACUUCCGGCUUAAGGCGUCCGCAACCACGUUAGCCUUUCCCGGGUGGUAAUCAAUGACAAGCUCCUAAUCUUUCAACAACUCAAGCCAACGUCUUUGUCGCAGAUUCAAGUCUCGUUGAGUCAUCAAAUAUUUGAGACUUUUGUGAUCCGAAAAUACAUGGCACUUCUCACCAAACAGAUAAUGUCGCCAUAUUUUUAAAGCAAACACGAUGGCAGCUAGUUCAAGAUCAUGGGUCGGAUAAUUCCUCUCGUGUGGCUUCAAUUGUCUCGACGCAUAGGCCACGACUCGACCUUCUUGCAUCAAUACGCAACCCAACCCAAGUAGGGAUGCGUCACUAUAAAUGACAAACUCUUUACCUGAUUCGGGUUGCACCAAAAUUGGAGUUUUAGUCAAAUGAGUUUUCAGUUGGUCGAAACUUUUCUGACAUUUCUCCGUCCACUCGAACUUAACAUCCUUUUGAAGUAGCUUCGUCAUUGGCGUGACUAUCAUCGAGAAACCUUUCACAAAUCGUCGGUAAUAACCGGCGAGCCCCAAAAAGCUCCGAUCUCAAAUCUAUUUUUGAGAACACUGAGGCUCCCUUCAGUUGGUCGAACAAAUCAUCGAUGCACGACAACGGAUAUUUGUUCUUUAUCGUCACUUUAUUCAGCUGACGAUAGUCAAUGCACAACCUCAUGGUUCCGUCCUUCUUUUUCACGAACAAUACUGGUGCACCCCAAGGUGAGAAACUUGGUCGAGCGAAACCUCUAUCCGUCAGUUCUUGCAACUGAGCUUUCAACUCCUUUAACUCAGUUGGUGCCAUACGAUACGGAGCUAUCGAAAUCGGCGUAGUCCCAGGUACAAGCUCAAUACCAAACUCUACCUCCCGAACAGGUGGUAAACCCUGUAAUUCUUCCGAAAAAACAUCCGGGUAUUCACAAACCACCGGCACAGAUUCGGGUUUCUUGUCUAAUUCUUUGUCAUCCAGUACAUACGUAAGGUAUGCUUCGCACCCUUUUCUUACAUAUUUCUGGGCCAACAUUGUUGAUAUUACAGCUGGCAUCCCCUCCAAGUCCGUAGACUCAACUCGGAUUACUUCGUUAUUUGCGCACCUCGAAUUUCUAGGGGACAUUACUCACACACUUUGUCGACAAGCACGUAACGACCCAAGGGAGUUGACACCCGAAUUACAAACUCAGUAGACUCAAUAGGUAAAGUCUUACUGGAUGCUAAGGUUUCACAUAUGUAAGAAUGAGUAGAACCGGGGUCAAUCAAAGCAAUUACAUUAGUAUCAAAGAGAGUGAAUGUACCGGUAAUAACAUCAGGCGAAGAAGCAUCCUCGCGGGCACGUAUAGCAUAAGCUCUAGUAGGCGCACGAGCUUCGGAUCUGGUUAUAUCAUCUCUAGAUCCUCUCUGACCACCACUAGCAUUGCCCGUAAUUCCAAAUGGUCUACCUCGAGCAGUGGUAGCACCCGGUUUCCCACUCUGAUUUUCAUUCUGUUCAAACAACCUCGGGCAAUCUUUAAUGAAGUGGUCAACUGAUCCGCACUUGUAACAGGAGCGGUCAGGGAAUCUACAACUCCCCGAAUGCCAUUUACCGCAAUAUCGACAUUUCGUUCUAUCUCGACGUUCAUUCCCAACACUGGCGACCGAAGUGCCUCGUGUAUCCACAAGGGGUCGAUCACGAUCUCGUCUAAAAAGGCCCGAAGUGCCUCUAAACUGGCCCGCAUCAUCUCGAAAUCUCUUCGAUGCUUGUUGAAGAGACCUUCCCGAGGAUCUUUUACGAAACUCUCCAGUUCCCUCAUCAACUCUUUGCUUUUCUUUUCUAAGCUCUUCGGCUUUACAAGCUCGUUCAACAAGUACCACGAACUCUCGUAUUUCAAGAACGCCAACGAACAUUUUUAUAUCUUCAUUCAGCCCAUCCUCGAAGCGUUUACACAUAAUAGCUUCGGACGAAACACAUUCCCGAGUGUAUUUGCUAAGUCUAACAAAUUUUCGCUCGUAAUCAGUAACCGACAUGGAGCCUUGCUUAAGCUCAAGAAAUUCCUUCCGUUUUUGAUCAACAAAUCUCUGACUGAUAUACUUUUUCCGAAACUCAGUUUGGAAAAACUCCCAAGUUACUUGCUCUCGGGGCACAACAGAAGUCAGAGUACUCCACCAAUAGUAGGCAGAAUCACGUAGCAAGGAGAUAGCACACUUUAGGCAUUCAUCGGGUGUACAAGAUAGCUCAUCGAGUACCCGGAUAGUGUUGUCCAGCCAAAAUUCAGCUUGCUCGGCAUCAUCGCUAUCCAUAGCCUUAAAUUCAGUAGUCCCAUGUUUUCAGAUUCUGUCAACUGGGGGCUUAUUUGACCUUAUUUGGUCCGUUACCGGUGGUAUUGUAGGUGCGGGGGUAGUAUUUGUCGGGAAUGGAGGUUGUGGAACAGCCAUAUUAGUUCGAAUGUAUUGGUUGAACCAAUCAUUCAUCACGCUAUAGAAUGCUUGUCUAGCUUCAUCAUUCGGAUUACUAGCAUUAGGUUGAGAGUCUGCCGGCACUGUCCCUUGUGCGGGAGCAGGCGCUACACUCUCAAGAUCAUCAGCUACCUCUCGGUCACGAUCGGGAUCCAUUACUAUAAACACAUUUACAAUUGUCAGAAAUCACCACACUAUCAAGUAAUCACAUAAAAUGGCAUGUAUAGCUAGACCCAACACAUUACGGUAGUCCUAGAAUCGACUAAACCGUAGCUCUGAUACCAAUUUAAUGUAACACCCCGAACCCGAGACCGACACCGGAGUCGGACACGAGAUGUUAACAAACUUUGAAAAAUUUUUCCAGACACUGCCCAGUCUGUGUACUAGUCGCUUCAAAAAUCAUAUCUUGAGUUUCACAACUCGAAAAUCAGUUUUGUGAUUUUUCCCUGAAACUAGACUCAUGUCCCCACCUAUGUAUUUUUGUCUAGAAUUUUUGGUCGGUCCAAUUAGUACAGUUUAUUAGUCAAAGUCUCCCAUGUUACAGGGGUCGACUACACUGACCUUUUCCCAUUACGACUUGGAUAUCUCUCUGCACAGAGCUUCAAUACUGAUGCCGUUUGUUUCUAUGGAAACUAGACUCAGAGAGGAAUACAUACAUAUAUGGUAUGACUCCUAAUUAUCUCUGGUCAAUUUAUAGUGAAUUUCCAAAGUCGGAACAGGGAAUCCAGAAACUGUUCUGGCCCUGUUCCACAAGAACCUGAAUAUCUCUUACUGUACUGUUCAUAUGAUUGUUUCGUUACUUUCAUAUGAAAGUAGAUUCAUCAAGGUUCGAUUACAUAAUUUAUUCACUAUUUAAUUCCACUCCUACGAAUUCUUGUGAUUUUUCCAAUCCACACCACUGCUGCUGUCAGCCUCUGUUUUCAAAGUAAACCUUACCUAUUUUCGGGGUUUCAUGGACCAACUAGGGCCUUGUCAUACAUAUGCCCACAUAUGAUCAUACUUAGCCAUUCCAAUGGCUGAUCAUUUGCUCAACACUUCCAUUCCAACUAUAGUUACAUCAUGAAACCAUCUAUACAUUCGUAAACACGAAUGGUCUAAUGCCAUACUCCACUUCUACAAGCCAUUUUCGCAUGGCUGUACACUUAUACAUUUCAUAAAGUACUCGAAAAACCACAAUGGGUAGUCCUAUACAUGCCAUAUCAAAAUUCAACCAAAAUAGUACCCAAAAGAGCCUUUGAUAGUGUGGGCGACUUCGACUUCAAGAUCCCGAGUCCGAUAGCUGGAGAACCAAAAAUCUAUAAAACAGAGGAGCAAUGUAACGAGUAAGCAAUUUAUGCUUAGUAAGUUUUGAGCAAGGAAUUCCAGCAUACACAAAGAAUAGCACACAUUUAGCUAAACGGAAUAUUUCAUAAUACGCAAUUUACCGAUAUCAAACUUGCUUCACAACAUUAACAACCCUUAUGUACAUACACAAUAAACUAACUUAGCCGAAGGCCGGUAGCUCGUUUAUCAACUGAGCGAACAUUUAUUUGUAAGGGCUCGAUUAAAUUCAACACAUACGUAACAUAUCCCCAUAUUGGGAUGUUUUUCGAGUAUUCGCUGGAAUUUUACAGCAAGCUCAUUCAUUACCAAAUCACGUACCUUCGGGAUUUAACCGGAUAUAGCUCCUCGUUCAAAUGCCUUCGGGACAUAGCCCGGUUUUAGUAACUCACACAAUGCCUUCGGGACAUAACCCGGAUUUAACAACUCGCACGAAUGCCUUCGGGACUUAACCCGGAUUUAGUAUCUCGCACAAAGGCCUUCGGGGCUUAACC
rnacentral:lncRNA from 1 species